AGCCCUGAGGUGUUCUUACAUUUCAGAUUGCAAAUCUGAAGUAGCAGAUUGACGUCUGCCGGGGCUU
rnacentral:tRNA from 1 species